AGAGUUUGAUCAUGGCUCAGAGCGAACGCUGGCGGCAGGCCUAACACAUGCAAGUCGAACGAAGUCUUCGGACUUAGUGGCGGACGGGUGAGUAACACGUGGGAACGUGCCUUUAGGUUCGGAAUAACUCAGGGAAACUUGUGCUAAUACCGAAUGUGCCCUUCGGGGGAAAGAUUUAUCGCCUUUAGAGCGGCCCGCGUCUGAUUAGCUAGUUGGUGAGGUAAAGGCUCACCAAGGCGACGAUCAGUAGCUGGUCUGAGAGGAUGAUCAGCCACAUUGGGACUGAGACACGGCCCAAACUCCUACGGGAGGCAGCAGUGGGGAAUCUUGCGCAAUGGGCGAAAGCCUGACGCAGCCAUGCCGCGUGAAUGAUGAAGGUCUUAGGAUUGUAAAAUUCUUUCACCGGGGACGAUAAUGACGGUACCCGGAGAAGAAGCCCCGGCUAACUUCGUGCCAGCAGCCGCGGUAAUACGAAGGGGGCUAGCGUUGCUCGGAAUUACUGGGCGUAAAGGGAGCGUAGGCGGACAUUUAAGUCAGGGGUGAAAUCCCGGGGCUCAACCUCGGAAUUGCCUUUGAUACUGGGUGUCUUGAGUGUGAGAGAGGUAUGUGGAACUCCGAGUGUAGAGGUGAAAUUCGUAGAUAUUCGGAAGAACACCAGUGGCGAAGGCGACAUACUGGCUCAUUACUGACGCUGAGGCUCGAAAGCGUGGGGAGCAAACAGGAUUAGAUACCCUGGGU
rnacentral:rRNA from 1 species